rnacentral:rRNA from 1 species
AGAGUUUGAUCCUGGCUCAGAUUGAACGCUGGCGGUAUGCUUAACACAUGCAAGUCGAACGGUAGCAGGCCUUCGGGUGCUGACGAGUGGCGGACGGGUGAGUAAGGCAUAGGAAUCUGCCUCGUAGUGGGGGACAACUUAGGGAAACUUAAGCUAAUACCGCAUACGCCCUGAGGGGGAAAGUGGGGGACCGUAAGGCCUCACGCUAUGAGAUGAGCCUAUGUUGGAUUAGCUAGUUGGUAGGGUAAAGGCCUACCAAGGCGACGAUCCAUAGCUGGUCUGAGAGGAUGAUCAGCCACACUGGGACUGAGACACGGCCCAGACUCCUACGGGAGGCAGCAGUGGGGAAUAUUGGACAAUGGGCGCAAGCCUGAUCCAGCAAUACCGCGUGUGUGAAGAAGGCCUGAGGGUUGUAAAGCACUUUCAAUAGGGAGGAAAAAGCGUAGGCUAAUACCCUGCGUAUUGACAUUACCUAUACAAGAAGCACCGGCUAACUCCGUGCCAGCAGCCGCGGUAAUACGGAGGGUGCGAGCGUUAAUCGGAAUUACUGGGCGUAAAGCGUGCGUAGGCGGCCUGUUAAGUCAGAUGUGAAAGCCCUGGGCUCAACCUGGGAACGGCAUUUGAAACUGGCAAGCUAGAGUUAGGUAGAGGGGAGUGGAAUUUCAGGUGUAGCGGUGAAAUGCGUAGAUAUCUGAAGGAACACCAGUGGCGAAGGCGGCUCCCUGGACCCAAACUGACGCUGAGGUACGAAAGCGUGGGUAGCAAACAGGAUUAGAUACCCUGGUAGUCCACGCUGUAAA